AACGAACGCUGGCGGCAUGCCUAACACAUGCAAGUCGAACGAGACCUUCGGGUCUAGUGGCGCACGGGUGCGUAACGCGUGGGAAUCUGCCCUUCGGUUGGGAAUAACUGAGAGAAAUUUCAGCUAAUACCUUAUAAUGUCUUCGGACCAAAGAUUUAUCGCCGAGGGAUGAGCCCGCGUAGGAUUAGGUAGUUGGUGGGGUAAUGGCCUACCAAGCCGACGAUCCUUAGCUGGUCUGAGAGGAUGAUCAGCCACACUGGGACUGAGACACGGCCCAGACUCCUACGGGAGGGAGCAGUGGGGAAUAUUGGACGAUGGGCGAAAGCCUGAUCCAGCAAUGCCGCGUGAGUGAUGAAGGCCUUAGGGUUGUAAAGCUCUUUUACCCGGGAUGAUAAUGACAGUACCGGGAGAAUAAGCUCCGGCUAACUCCGUG
rnacentral:rRNA from 1 species